CCAAGUUGUUCAAAUAGGGGUGAAUAUGGUGAACUGUGAACAACAUGGAAUAUCCUUGCUGCUGGCUUUUGACGUUUAUUAGGGUUAGCCGUGCACGAGGAAGCAUUGGCCCGUAUUGCGAAGCGAUGAUGUUUCACUAACCAUGGAUCUGCAAACUGAGUUGAUAACAGAAGUAUAUUGGUGCGUAGUGGCGGAUCUUAGGGAGGCAAUGUGGGAAUUGCAAUUCCCUCCCCUUUUUAGAUGAAUAUUUAUAGCAGAAAAUGUUGUGUUUUUUGGUCAUUUUUGAAAUCUUCAAUCCCUUUGCAGAGGAAAAGAUACAAAUUUGGGUCGCAACUACCCCCUCCCUUUGAAAAUUUCUGAAUCCACCGCUGUUCUGAGUUGUCCGUGUGAACUCCAAAUAGUUUUUCAGUGUUUAAUAUUGUCUAGAAGAUGACCAGAAAUUUGAGAUCUAAAGACUAGGAAUUGAUCUGAAUUAUGAAAUGUUUUACAAACUUCGGAGUCUGUAGAACAAACGGUCCAUUUGUCUGAUCUUUUUCACCAGAUCUAGUCAAAAGGUCCCACGUUCCGAAGCCUUUUCAAAGACUUAAUGCCGACAUAUUUCAUCGAAGUAGCACUAUGAGAUUGUUUAUUAAUCAGAGGACGAGACAAAUAGUAAUAAUGAAUUGAAAUAAUAUAAUACAGUUUCCAUUCUCUCCUUUCAGGGGUUUACUUUACGCACGCACAAACGCACGCACGUAGAUACAAAGAAACGAGCAAAGGUUUUCAAUCAUUUACUUUAAUUGUUGCUACCAUGACAAUCAUACACACAUAUAUACAUGUACAUACGAAUACCAGAUACCACGCCAUUCUACAUAACCACUAAUUACAAAUGGUAGAAAAAUUAUAUCUUAUUACACACAAUGAUAGUGGACAUAUAAUAAACCCUUUCACGAAGUACGAAACCCUGGGAUACUUCAAUAGUAUUUCUAUAAGUAAGAGUUAUCUUUCUUAUCAUGAUAAAAUAAAGUUGGAUGUCGUGGAGUGACAGUUAGUUGUCAUCUCACUACAUAAUGCGUGUUACAGUUAUUUGUCAUCUCACUACAUAAUGCGUGUGACAGUUAUUUGUCAUCUCCUACAUAAUGCGUGUGACAGUUAUUUGUCAUCUCCUACAUAAUGUGUGUGACAGUUAUUUGUC